rnacentral:rRNA from 1 species
GACAGAGGUGCCGAGCGUUAGGCGGAAUCACUGGGCUUAAAGCGUGUGUAGGCGGGUCGUUAAGGGCCUUGUGAAAUCCCACGGCUCAACCGUGGAACUGCUGGGCAUACUGGCGAUCUUGAGCCAGCUAUGGGCAACCGGAACAAACGGUGGAGCGGUGAAAUGCGUAGAUAUCGUUUGGAACGCCAAUGGUGAAAACAGGUUGCUGGGGCUGUGCUGACGCUGAGACACGAAAGCCAGGGGAGCGAACGGG